GACGAACGCUGGCGGCGUGCUUAACACAUGCAAGUCGAACGAAGUGGCGAGCGGGUGAGUAAUACGUGGGUACCCUUCCCUCCUUUUGGGAUAAGCCUUGGAAAAGGGGUCUAAUACAGAAUACAGGGGGAGGGGCUCGCGGCCUAUCAGCUUGUUGGUGGGUUGAUGUGCUGCCAAGGCGGUGGCGGGUCGCGGGCCUGAGCGGGUGAACGGCGACUUUGGGACUGAGAUACGGCCCAGGCUCCGACGGGGGGGAGCAGUGGGGGCUAGUGAACAAUGGGCGAAAGCCUGAUGCAGCGACUCCGCGUGGGGGAUGAGGGCUUUCGGGUUGUAAACCUCUUUCGCUAUCGAGCGGGUAGGUGGAGAGGAAGCGCCGGCUAACUACGUGCCAGCAGCCGCGGUAAUUC
rnacentral:rRNA from 1 species